UACAGAGGUCUCAAGCGUUGUUCGGAUUCAUUGGGCGUAAAGGAUGCGUAGGCGGACAUUUAAGUCAGAUGUGAAAUACCCGAACUUAACUUGGGUGCUGCAUUUGAAACUGGGUGUCUAGAGUGCAGGAGAGGUAAGUGGAAUUCCUGGUGUAGCGGUGAAAUGCGCAGAUAUCAGGAAGAACACCCGUGGCGAAGGCGGCUCUCUGGUACGUGACUGACGCUGAGACGCGAAAGCGUGGGGAGCAAACAGG
rnacentral:rRNA from 1 species